rnacentral:piRNA from 1 species
UGAUGAGUGUUGUAGGUCAUUAUCAGGAAAC